GCCCGGCGGUAACCUUCCAAUUUUAAAGUAUAAGCAAAUAUAGUAUUUAUAUUAGCUUUCUUCUAUUUUAUACAUAUAAGGUAGCAUAUUCUAUAUUAGUGGAGUCCACCCAGAAUUUCUACAAAGGUAAAAAUAAUCUGUGUCUAAAUUUCCAAGAUAGUAGUUGCUAGCUACCUGUGGCUGUUGAACACCUGAAAUGUGGUGAGUGCAACUGAGGGGCUGGAUUUUUAAUUUUAUUUAAAUAACUUAAACAGCCACACGUGACCAAGAGCUAUUGUAUGGGACAGCUGCAGCUCUACACAUUUUUUUGUAGUUUGCUUUUUCACAUAACAGUAUAUUCUGGAGAUCACUACAUUGCAGUACAGAGAAGGAGUUCUCAUUGCUUCUUUUACCUGAAUAGUACUCUAAGAUGUAGAUGUAACUUAGAUUAUUCAAUCAAUCUCUCAUUGCUGAAUGUCUCUUAUUUCUAGUCUUAUGCUGUUACAAUUUUUUUCUGCUAGGAAUGACCUUGUGCUUAUGUCUUUUGUCUUUUUGAAUUGUAUCUUGGGAUAGAUUCUUAGAAGAGAGAUUACUAGUUCCUGAAGAAAAUACCUGUGCCCCAUAAAACAUAUUUGAAACAAAGAGCAUCUGGAAAUGUAACAGCAAGAAGUGAUCAUUGAUCCUAUCUCAUCAUUUCUUUGAUUCCACAUACUUUCUGGUCUCUUAUUUUUUUCCUAGUGUGACAAGGUAGAAGAAUUUCUUACUGAGUCCCUGGAAGAAGAAAUAGUACAGAAGAGCCAAAAAUAUUAAUGGGUCAGCUGGACAGAAGAUGGGAGUAAUCAAACCUGUAUCUCAGUUGCCAGACCCAUCAACUGACCAAAGGAUUUGGUUGCCUGGCUAUCUGAUGGAAAGGAGGAAAGAAGAAACAUAAGAAGAACAAAUACAAACUCACAUCUUAACAAAAAAUACGUAGAAUGUAACCCAGCAACAUGAGGCUUUGCAGAAGAACAAUGCAAUAGAACACUCAGAGCCAGGCACCUUAUAAGGCAUUAGGUAAGUCUUUUCUCCUGUGUUGGCUGUUUUUGGGUCACACCUCUCAGCUCCAUAUAGAGAUUAGUGAGAUCCCAUCUGGGAAAACACUUUUGAUACCUUAGAUGGGAAGAAAGACACAAUGAUUUCCAAGGAACUAUUUUCCAAUCUAGACUGGGGAAUAUCAUAAUCUGUGUUUGAUGAACUGAGUAAAUAUUAUAUAAGUCCUUGUAUUAUUUGGUAAUUGAAUGACCAUUUGGGCAUCAUCAUAGGGUGGAAGGAACAUAAAGUCCCAUACAAGGGCAGGACCCAUGACCUCAGAGAGCCAUUGGGACUCAUGUUUCCUGAACACUGGUGCUUUCCUAUGUCAUGUAUUUCCCGCAGCAUUCCUGGGAGGUAAAGGCUGUGAUCUCUAUGCCAUUUUGUAGCUGGAGGAACAAUGAUGUACAGAGGUUAAGAAACCUGGCUGUGGAGCAUCCUGCACUGAGUGAAAAAGCAGAGCCUGGCACCCUACAUGUCCCCGUGCAGACUGUGUGACACUGAACUGCACAUCACACUGUAAUCAAUCAAUCUUGCGUUCGUGCUGACUCUGGUCACUACUGAAGUCUGUAUCUCCACCUCUGAAGCCAGGUUGCUCGUCCUGCCUCUCUUUCUGCAAGUCAGAGAACCUCAUUGGACUUCAGUUUCCUACUGUGUAAAGAAAGACAAGGGAGCCUGCGCCAGUGCUGUAGAAAGUGGAGUCCCUAGAUGACCUAUAUGGUGAGGGACAGGUGUCAUGCUGAGGAUGAGUGCUUGAGGAAGCAGACCUCAGAUGCAUGCAGUUCGAGGUCUGUACUGUAAUAGAAAUUGGUAAAACAACCUGGAAAGGUUGUACUAAGUGACAUCCACAUAAGCAGUAUGAGACAGUGUAGACUUCCCCCAACACACACCACACUGGAAUCCUCAAUAGUUUCUUUUACACUUUGAUGACAUAACAAGUGGAAAUUUUUUCACUGUCAUCAUAUUUAGCUCAAUAUUAAGAUGACUUUAAAAAUUCC